rnacentral:snRNA from 1 species
AUACUUACCUGGUGCUGAGGCGGCCCCUGAUCAGGGAGGGGGGCGCCCCGGGCGGAGGCCUUCCAUUCGCACUUCGGUGGGCUGAAGCCUGCCACUUUCCCAAACUGGGAUAGCUGGGGCAUGCCAUUUUUGCUAGUGGGGGAGCGGCGUGCGCGCAAUCCCCCU